UUGCACGCUGGCGGCAUGCUUUACACAUGCAAGUCGCACGGUAACAGGCCGCAAGGUGCUGACGAGUGGCGAACGGGUGAGUAAUGCAUCGGAACGUGCCCAGUCGUGGGGGAUAACUACUCGAAAGAGUAGCUAAUACCGCAUACGAUCUAUGGAUGAAAGCGGGGGACCGUAAGGCCUCGCGCGAUUGGAGCGGCCGAUGUCAGAUUAGGUAGUUGGUGGGGUAAAGGCUCACCAAGCCAACGAUCUGUAGCUGGUCUGAGAGGACGACCAGCCACACUGGGACUGAGACACGGCCCAGACUCCUACGGGAGGCAGCAGUGGGGAAUUUUGGACAAUGGGCGCAAGCCUGAUCCAGCAAUGCCGCGUGCAGGAAGAAGGCCUUCGGGUUGUAAACUGCUUUUGUACGGAACGAAACGGCUCUGGUUAAUACCCGGGGCUAAUGACGGUACCGUAAGAAUAAGCACCGGCUAACUACGUG
rnacentral:rRNA from 1 species